rnacentral:rRNA from 1 species
AGAGUUUGAUCCUGGCUCAGAGUGAACGCUGGCGGCAGGCCUAACACAUGCAAGUCGAGCGGCAGCGCGGGGGCAACCCUGGCGGCGAGCGGCGGACGGGUGAGGAAUUCGUCGGAAUCUGCCUUUUUGUGGGGGAUAACGUAGGGAAACUUACGCUAAUACCGCAUACGACCUACGGGUGAAAGUGGGGGACCUUCGGGCCUCACGCAGAAAGAUGAGCCGACGACCGAUUAGCUAGUUGGUGGGGUAAAGGCCCACCAAGGCGACGAUCGGUAGCUGGUCUGAGAGGACGACCGGCCACACUGGGACUGAGACACGGCCCAGACUCCUACGGGAGGCAGCAGUGGGGAAUUUUGGACAAUGGGCGCAAGCCUGAUCCAGCAAUGCCGCGUGCAGGACGAAGGCCUUCGGGUUGUAAACUGCUUUUGUACGGAGCGAAACGGUCUGGGUUAAUACCCUAGGCUAAUGACGGUACCGUAAGAAUAAGCACCGGCUAACUACGUGCCAGCCGCCGCGGUAAUAC